AUACGUAGGGGGCGAGCGUUGUCCGGAAUGAUUGGGCGUAAAGGGCGCGUAGGCGGCGCGGUAAGUCUGGAGUGAAAGUCCUGCUUUCAAGGUGGGAAUUGCUUUGGAUACUGCCGCGCUUGAGUGCAGGAGAGGUUAUCGGAAUUCCCGGUGUAGCGGUGAAAUGCGUAGAGAUCGGGAGGAACACCAGUGGCGAAGGCGGGUAACUGGACUGCAACUGACGCUGAGGCGCGAAAGUGUGGGGAGCAAACAGGAUUAGAUACGCUGGUAGUCCACACUGUAAACGAUGAAUGCUAGGUGUAAGAGGUAUCGACCCCUUUUGUGCCGGAGUCAACACAAUAAGCAUUCCGCCUGGGGAGUACGGCCGCAAGGUUGAAACUCAAAUGAAUUGACGGGG
rnacentral:rRNA from 1 species